UACGAAGGGGGCUAGCGUUGCUCGGAAUGACUGGGCGUAAAGCGUGCGUAGGUGGUUUUUUAAGUCCGUUGUGAAAGCCCUGGGCUCAACCUGGGAAUGGCAGUGGAUACUGGAAAGCUAGAGUGCGGUAGAGGGUAGUGGAAUUCCCGGUGUAGCAGUGAAAUGCGUAGAGAUCGGAAGGAACACCAGUGGCGAAAGCGGCUUCCUGGUCCGACACCGACGUUCAGGCACGAAAGCGUGGGGAGCAAACAGG
rnacentral:rRNA from 1 species